rnacentral:rRNA from 1 species
AUUGAACGCUGGCGGCAGGCCUAACACAUGCAAGUCGAGCGAUCGGCGGACGGGUGAGUAAUGUAUGGGGAACUGCCCGAUAGAGGGGGAUAACUACUGGAAACGGUAGCUAAUACCGCAUACUAUCAGUUGAACCCAUAUGGGAUUAGCUCGUUGGUGGGGUAAAGGCUCACCAAGGCGACGAUCUCUAGAUGGUCUGAGAGGAUGAUCAGCCCAACUGGAAAUGAGCAACGGGCCAGACGCCUACGGGAGGCAGCAGUGGGGAAUAUUGCACAAUGGGCGCAAGCCUGAUGCAGCCAUGCCGCGUGUAUGAAGAAGGCCUUCGGGUUGGAAAGUACUUUCAGCGGGGAGGCGUUACCCGCAGAAGAAGCACCGGCUAACUCCGUGCCAGCAGCCGCGGUAAUUC